rnacentral:rRNA from 1 species
GUGGGGAAUAUUGGACAAUGGGCGAAAGCCUGAUCCAGCCAUGCCGCGUGUGUGAAGAAGGUCUUCGGAUUGUAAAGCACUUUAAGUUGGGAGGAAGGGCAGUAAGUUAAUACCUUGCUGUUUUGACGUUACCGACAGAAUAAGCACCGGCUAACUUCGUGCCAGCAGCCGCGGUAAUACGAAGGGUGCAAGCGUUAAUCGGAAUUACUGGGCGUAAAGUGCGCGUAGGUGGUUCAGUAAGUUGGAAGUGAAAUCCCCGGGCUCAACCUGGGAACUGCUUUCAAAACUGCUGAGCUAGAGUACGGUAGAGGGUGGUGGAAUUUCCUGUGUAGCGGUGAAAUGCGUAGAUAUAGGAAGGAACACCAGUGGCGAAGGCGACCACCUGGACUGAUACUGACACUGAGGUGCGAAAGCGUGGGGAGCAAACAGGAUUAGAUACCCCAGUAGUCC